rnacentral:rRNA from 1 species
AGAGUUUGAUCCUGGCUCAGGAUGAACGCUGGCGGCGUGCCUAAUACAUGCAAGUCGAACGCGCAGCGAGAGGUGCUUGCACCUUUCAAGCGAGUGGCGAACGGGUGAGUAACACGUGGAUAACCUGCCUCAAGGCUGGGGAUAACAUUUGGAAACAGAUGCUAAUACCGAAUAAAACUUAGUAUCGCAUGAUAUAAAGUUAAAAGGCGCUACGGCGUCACCUAGAGAUGGAUCCGCGGUGCAUUAGUUAGUUGGUGGGGUAAAGGCUUACCAAGACAAUGAUGCAUAGCCGAGUUGAGAGACUGAUCGGCCACAUUGGGACUGAGACACGGCCCAAACUCCUACGGGAGGCUGCAGUAGGGAAUCUUCCACAAUGGGCGCAAGCCUGAUGGAGCAACGCCGCGUGUGUGAUGAAGGCUUUCGGGUCGUAAAGCACUGUUGUAUGGGAAGAAAUGCUAAAAUAGGGAAUGAUUUUAGUUUGACGGUACCAUACCAGAAAGGGACGGCUAAAUACGUGCCAGCAGCCGCGGUAAUACGUAUGUCCCGAGCGUUAUCCGGAUUUAUUGGGCGUAAAGCGAGCGCAGACGGUUGAUUAAGUCUGAUGUGAAAGCCCGGAG